rnacentral:rRNA from 2 species
GAAUGCUGACAUAAGUAACGAUAAAGCGGGUGAAAAGCCCGCUCGCCGGAAGACCAAGGGUUCCUGUCCAACGUUAAUCGGGGCAGGGUGAGUCGACCCCUAAGGCGAGGCCGAAAGGCGUAGUCGAUGGGAAACGGGUUAAUAUUCCCGUACUUGGUGUUACUGCGAAGGGGGGACGGAGAAGGCUAUGUUGGCCGGGCGACGGUUGUCCCGGUUUAAGCGUGUAGGUGUGUGUUCCAGGUAAAUCCGGUUCACUUUAACACUGAGGCGUGACGACGAGGCACUACGGUGCUGAAGCAACAAAUGCCCUGCUUCCAGGAAAAGCCUCUAAGCAUCAGGUAACACGAAAUCGUACCCCAAACCGACACAGGUGGUCAGGUAGAGAAUACCAAGGCGCUUGAGAGAACUCGGGUGAAGGAACUAGGCAAAAUGGUGCCGUAACUUCGGGAGAAGGCACGCUGACACGUAGGUGAAGUGAUUUACUCAUGGAGCUGAA